UACAGAGGGUGCGAGCGUUGUUCGGAAUUAUUGGGCGUAAAGGGCGCGUAGGCGGUGCGGUAAGUCACCUGUGAAAUCUCCUGGCUCAACUGGGAGCUUGCAGGCGAAACUGCCGUGCUGGAGUGUGGGAGAGGUGCGUGGAAUUCCUGGUGUAGCGGUGAAAUGCGUAGAUAUCGAGAGGAGCCACUGCGGCGAAGGCGGGUUGCUGGGCUGACACUGACGCUGAAGUGCGAAAGCUAGGGGGGCGAACGGG
rnacentral:rRNA from 1 species